GUUUGGAUUGAUGGUGUAGUCCUUGGUCUGAACAUCGCUGGCCCUGAUGAUACCUCCACAUACAAACACCUUGCCGUCUCCAAUGGAACAUAUAGCUUGGGACACAUCCAAAGGACAGUCGUUGGGCAAGAGAGGCACCGAGGCGGUGGUCUUGUUGGCCUUUAUCUCCUGCAGGUUGAUUUCCACGCUCUGCCGGUGGCUGUGCACGCAGAGGAUGUUUUCCUGCUGGAAAGAGAGCAAGGGCCGGUGGUUGAACCCGAUGGGGAAGGUGAUACACUGGACCACCUCCCCAGUGCUGGUGUCGAAGCAGUCCACUACCCCGACCCGGGAGAUUUGGCCUUUCGCCAAGCUCCGCCCAGUGACGAUGUACAGGUUCUGGUCGCCCCUGGUAACCACGGCCGUGGCAUCCAUGGGGAUGUUCAUCUUCCCUGCCAGGCACCAGGCCUCCUUGAGCUCAUCAUAGCGAUAGAUGUUGGAGACGUAGCGCAGCGGGACGAUGCUGCCGCCCACCGAGUACACCGUGCCCCCGCAGGUCACCAUGGUGUGGAAGACCAGCCCGAUGGGCAGGUCGGGCAGGCUGGUCCAGGAGUUGUUAUCCAUGUCAUACCGGCACGCUGUCUUCAGCCCUGAGAUCUGUUCCGUGGUGCCACCGGAGACGUAGAUGUAGCGACCGGCAGAGGUGGCACUCAGAGCCAUUGCCCGGUAGGGCAUCUUGGAGAGCUUCACCCACAGGUUCUCCUGGAUGAUAUAGGCAAAGACAGCAUCGUUGAACUUUCCCUGAGCAUUCUGGCCCCCGAGGAGCACCACACAGUCGAGCAGGGACCCUUUGCGCUGGUAGCCCAGCAGGCUGCAUGGCCGCUCUUGCUUGCGGUUCACCAGGACGCUCUCGAUCAGCGUGACGUGGCUCGAGCUGCUCUCCAUGUCCACGAGCUUGUUCCUGGCAAACACCAGCGUCUGGUUGGUGACGGCAUUGAGAUUGAUGUAGCUGAAGAACUUCCUGAAGUACUCGGCCCGCUCCUCUUUCCGGAAGUACACCCAGUUGAUGAGCGCACUGAGCGCCUGGUCCUCGUUGAGCACGUGAAGGUUUUCAUCGCGCAGCAGGCGGCCGAAGAUGACGGGCGGGCAGUGCAGGAAGUGCGCGGAGCCCUCGGGACUGGCCCAGUAGUGGAAGUUGUCCCGAGUGCCGGAGUAGGCCAGGCCCCACACCUCUUUGAGCUCGAACAGCUCGGCCAAGAAGAGGUAGCGCAAGCAGUUGGCCUGGCGGAUGGACUUAAUAAGGAAGUCGCUGCAGUGAACUUGGAGGACCCUGCUUUCUCCGCUGUGAUUCAUGAGAAACUCCAGGUCCCCAACACCAUCCGAAAGGCCUGGAAUGACCGAGAUAACCGCUGUGACAUUUGUGCCACACACCUGAACCAGCUGAAGCAGGAAGCCAUCCAGAUGGUGCUGACGUUGGAGCAGGCAGCUGGCAGUGAGCACUACAGUGCCUCACCUGGAUCACCCCCUCCGCUGUCCAACAUGCCCACCCUGGUAGGGUCCCGGCACGUGAGUGGUGGGCUCCAGCAGCCCAGGGAUUGGGCCUUUGUGCCUGCCGCCUAUGCCACCUCCAACUACACAGGCCUUGUCAACAAGCACAGCAGCAAACCCAGCAGCCUUGGAGUCAGCAAUGGGGCAGAAAAAAAGAGUGGGUCCCCCACCCACCAGCCCAAGGUCAGCCUCCAGAUGGCCACCAGUCCCAGCAAUGGGAAUAUCCCCAAUGCUGUGGCCAUUCAGGCCCACCAAUACCUGGAUGGCACCUGGUCUCUUUCAAGAACCAAUGGAGUCACGCUGUAUCCCUACCAGGUAAGUACUUCCAUGAGGAAGAAAGAGCAGGGUUGGAUAGAGUCAUAGAAGAGAAGUAGACAGCACUUCCUUUCUCUACCCUUCUCCUGUGAACUCCCCAGCCCAGACCCUAAUACACCCUCGUGACCCACAUAACUCUGUCACCAGGGUGAAGCAGCCAGACCAACCUGCUUUGAGACUGCAUCUUCCAAACCUUCCACUUGUGCCUGCUCUCUGCUCAUUCAGCAUCUUCUUCC
rnacentral:lncRNA from 1 species